UACGGAGGUCUCAAGCGUUGUCCGGAUUCAUUGGGCGUAAAGAGCUCGUAGGCGGUUCGAUAAGUCGGGUGUGAAACCUCCAGGCUCAACCUGGAGACGCCACCCGAUACUGUCGUGACUAGAGUCCAGUAGGGGAGCGUGGAAUUCCUGGUGUAGCGGUGAAAUGCGCAGAUAUCAGGAGGAACACCAGCGGCGAAGGCGGCGCUCUGGGCUGGAACUGACGCUGAGGAGCGAAAGCGUGGGGAGCGAACAGG
rnacentral:rRNA from 1 species